AUUGAACGCUGGCGGCAGGCCUAACACAUGCAAGUCGAACGAGUGGCGGACGGGUGAGUAAUGUCUGGGAAACUGCCUGAUGGAGGGGGAUAACUACUGGAAACGGUAGCUAAUACCGCAUACCAUCAGAUGUGCCCAGAUGGGAUUCGCGUGGUGGGGGGGUAACGGCUCAACACGGCGACGAUCCCUAGCUGGUCUGAGAGCAUGACCAGCCACACGGGAACGUCGCAACGGUCCAGACUCCUACGGGAGACAGCAGUGGGGAAUAUUGCACAAUGUGCGCAAGCCUGAUGCAGCCAUGCCGCGUGUAUGAAGAAGGCCGUCGGGUUGUAAAGUACUUUCAUCGGGGAGGCGUUACCCGCAGAAGAAGCACCGGCUAACUCCGUGCCAGCAGCCGCGGUAAUUC
rnacentral:rRNA from 1 species